CACAUUGAAACACCAGUUUACAUCUGAUCACCAAAGUUAAGCAACGUUGAGUUUGAUCAGUACCAAUAUGGGUGACCACUUGGGAAUACCAGGUGCUAUA